AGUGAACGCUGGCGGUAGGCCUAACACAUGCAAGUCGAACGGCAGCACAGUAAGAGCUUGCUCUUACGGGUGGCGAGUGGCGGACGGGUGAGGAAUACAUCGGAAUCUACUUUUUCGUGGGGGAUAACGUAGGGAAACUUACGCUACUACCGCAUACGACCUACGGGUGAAAGCAGGGGAUCUUCGGACCUUGCGCGAUUGAAUGAGCCGAUGUCGGAUUAGCUAGUUGGCGGGGUAAAGGCCCACCAAGGCGACGAUCCGUAGCUGGUCUGAGAGGAUGAGCAGCCGCACUGGAACUGAGACACGGUCCAGACUCCUACGGGAGGCAGCAGUGGGGAAUAUUGGACAAUGGGCGCAAGCCUGAUCCAGCCAUACCGCGUGGGUGAAGAAGGCCUUCGGGUUGUAAAGCCCUUUUGUUGGGAAAGAAAAGCAGCAGGUUUAUACCCCGCUGUUCCGACGGUACCCAAAGAAUAAGCACCGGCUAACUUCGUG
rnacentral:rRNA from 1 species